UUGUUUCUCUCUUUCCCACCAGGCACUUCCCUAAGCAGUGCUGCUUAUCUAAUUCUGUGCUUACUUAGAAAUUCCAGGGGCCAAUUUUGAAACAAACCAGGCAGAGACCCAGCUGUAGAAUCCUCCCACUUGGGGGAGUUACAGGUAGCCCACAGCUUCCAGGCUGAGGUCAGGAUGACAGCCAAGCUGACCUGGGGACAGGCCAGUGAUGACUCAGGACCAUCAGAACAGGAUGCAGGUGGACAGCCCCUGCCCCGCUCCCGCCUACUCCCCAAACCUCUUCCUCCUUGAACCCUUCACUCAGCCCAAAAAGCUGGAAUGGACUUUUAACGGCAUGGGCCUGGCCAUUCCUCCACUGCUAGCAUUUGAAUAAAGCUGCUUUCCUUCCACCGCACCUCACUGCUCAUGCUUUGACUUCUGAGCAGGGAGCAGCUGGACUUGAGCCAGUUACACAUCAGUCUUUCACCAUUUGGAAUAAUGUGGCCAGGUGUGGUGGCUCACGCCUGUAAUCUCAGCACUUUAGGAGGCCAAGGCGGGCAGAUCACAAGCCCAACAGGCAUCACCGUCAGAAGGAACACGGCCAUCCAGAGAAACACACCAGGCCACAAAGCACUGGGGACCAGGGAUCGUGCCCCUCCCAUCCGCCAGGGGCUGACCCCCAGCCUCCAACCCUACCAUCUCCUGACGGCAUCUGCACCGCUGGAACCCAACCGGAAUCUAAAAGAACACAGUUGGCAGACGAGACUGGGACACAGGGUGAGAUGGGUGGACGAUGGGAGGUUCCUGGGGAGCAGCUGUCGUAAUGAGCAUGGAACCCGUCGGGGAGCCCCGUUCUCUGAAGCAUCUGUGCAUGUUGUUCCAGCAUUUUCUUCAAGGAUUGAGCCAGCAGCGCCAGUGUCGUAAGGUGCUUAGGUGAUUCACAAACAGCCAGUGAAAUACAAGGUGCCUGGGAUACCGUCAACAAAAACAGGAAACAGACACAUCUUCCUGCUGAUGUAGAGACUCCAGCCUGUCUGCCGGUCUCUGUUCCUGAAGAGCCCAGGCCCCACCCUUUCCUGCCCGGGGGCAUGGGAGGCAUGGGGGGGUUCCUGCUCAGCAGCACUUGCUAUGGGAGGGGUGAGGGACUGGGUCAUGCCAGCCCCUUGUUACAGCCCCCCAGGGUUAUUAGAGUGUAGAUUAGUGUUAUUUAGUAAGUACUCAAGGGCAUCUGAUCUUGCACCACUGAGGCACACAGAUGCCAGCAUGCCGGCUCAGCACUUGCCUGCAGAGCGAGGCUCAGCCGUGGGUCCCAGGGCAGAUGACGCAGGCCCAGGAACUACCGGGUCCAGGAGGAGAAGGCACAGUUCUUGCUCAGGUUGUCUGGGGAUGAGGCCAGUGGAGCCAGGCGCCAAGGGAGCUCAGCACUCACAAACGCUGAGCACAGGUUGGCAGGUGGCUCUUGGUGCCUCAUGCCACCCAUUUAUCUAAAGGGAUGAGAUUCAAGGCCUGUCCUUCGGGCUGGGGCCAUUGAAGCUGAUGAGAGAGGGGCAGGUAAAUUCUAACGGGGAGAUGGCCGAUGAACGCGUG
rnacentral:lncRNA from 13 species